rnacentral:lncRNA from 10 species
UCAUCCUCUCCCCAGAGAUGUCCGUUCUCUAAUCCGUGAAACGGGUGAACAUGUUACCUUCCAUGGCAAAAGGGACUUGGCAGAUGCAAUUAAGGUAUGGACCUUGAAUUGGGAAGAGUUCCCUAGAGUGUCCAGGUGGAUCCAAUAUAACUACAUGAGUUUUUAGAAGUGGAAGAGUAAGACAGAAGAGUGGGUCAGAGAGAUGCAACAACGGAAGAAGAGGAGGAGAAGUGGCAGCUUGAGAGAAACUCAACCCACUACUGCUGGCUUUAAAAAUGGAGGAAGAGGGCCAGGCGCGGUGGCUCAUGCUUGUAAUCCCAGCACUUUGGGAGGCAAAGUUGUGCGGAUCACGAGGUCAGGAGUUUGAGACAAGCCUGAUCAACAUGGUGAAACCCCAUCUCUAAAAAAAUACAAAAAUUAGCUGGGUGUAGUGGUGCGCGCCUAUAGUCCCAGCUGCUCAGGAGUCUGAGGCAGGGGAAUGGCGUGAACCCGGGAAGCGGAGCUUGCAGUGAGCCGAGAUCGCACCACUGCACUCCAGCCCGGGCAACAGAGUGAGACUCCAUCUCAAAAGAAAAAAAAAAGAAAGAAAAUGGAGGAAGGAGACCCACCAUGAGCCAAGGAAUGCAGAUGGCUUCUCAAAGCUGAGAACAGUCCUUAGCUGAUAGCCAGAGCAAGAUAAUAAAGACCUCAGUUCUACAAUCACAAGGAACUGAAUUCUGCCAACAACCUGAAUGCACCAAGAGACAGACUCUUCCAAAGAUCCCUCAGAAAGAGACACAGACGUGCAGGUAUCUUGAUUUCAGCCUCACAGACACCCAUGUCAGACUUCUGACCUGCAGAACUCUAAGGUAGAAGGAAAAGAAGACAAAAGAUGUACCAGAACUUCACUUUUUACCACUGACACGAGCUACUUCUUUGUUGAAUCAGGUCUAGACAACUAGCAAAACAAUAAAUCAAAUAAUGACUUCUAGCAUCAGCCAAUUUCUGCAACCAUGAUAUCCGUGAAGGCAGAGCUGGGAAAAGAAGAGCCGUAGCAGCACACCAUAUUACAGUGUUUCUCCUAUUCAAAUACAAGAGAUCUAAAUUACCUCAAGGCCAUAGAAAACAGUGAAAUUUGGUAAUUAGUUAAGUAAUGAUUUUAAGUAUUUACUAACUUUGUUUUUGAUAUAAUUUACCUAUAAGCUUAUAUAAGUAAUUUUUAAUAAAGUCUGUGUUAAAGAAUCAGCUCACACAAAAACUCAAUAGGCUCUCAUGAGCCAGCACAAGCGGGCUUCACCACAUCACUUACAACUAACUUGAAUAAGAUCACACCAUUAGGAAGUAACAGUGCUAAGAUUUGUAUUCAGAUCUUAGAAGUCUAAGAUUCUGCCAUUGGACCAUGUUGCUCUUAGUAAUAAUUACGCAGAGUGAUGAAGAAAAAGUCAGCUGAUGACCAAACUACUUCAUUUAUCAAGACUAAGAAGUGCAAAACAUAAUCUAUACAUUUUGGAAAGCAGUACAAGUAACAUAACUCAAACAAGUUUUGACAAUUUUAACAGGUCAAUGUCACUUAGCAGGAACAUGUACUGAG